rnacentral:rRNA from 1 species
CCUACGGGGCGCAGCAGUGAGGAAUAUUGGUCAAUGGGCGUAAGCCUGAACCAGCCAAGUCGCGUGAGGGAUGAAGGUCCUAUGGAUCGUAAACCUCUUUUAUAAGGGAAUAAAGUGCGGGACGUGUCCCGUUUUGUAUGUACCUUAUGAAUAAGGAUCGGCUAACUCCGUGCCAGCAGCCGCGGUAAUACGGAGGAGCCGAGCGUUAUCCGGAUUUAUUGGGUUUAAAGGGUGCGUAGGCGGCCUUUUAAGUCAGCGGUGAAAGUCUGUGGCUCAACCCGAGAAUUGCCGUUGAAACUGGGAGGCUUGAGUAUGUUAGGGGCAGGCGGAAUGCGUGGUGUAGCGGUGAAAUGCUUAGAUAUCGCGCAGAACCCCGAUUGCGAAGGCAGCCUGCCGGGCCAUGACUGACGCUGAGGCACGAAAGCGUGGGGAUCAAACAGGAUUAGAUACCCUUGUAGUC